UAUGUGGCAGUAUAGUGUGAGGUAGAUAAUCAAUCAAGAUCAUGCUUUUUGAUUGGUCUCUCAAAUGGGCUGGUUUCCUAUAAAAAGCCUCAGUUCUACAACUGUGCACCCCUCUGACUUCAGGCAUUGGUUGUCCCUGGCUGUCUACUUCCGUGUUUUCUGUGCUUUACGGCAGCACGGAUAGUUUUAUACCGAACCACAGAUCGACACAACUUAUAAGUGACGGUGACUUUUGCAAAGGUCCAGAGGCUUUCCCUCCAAUGAGCUGUAGUCCAGCUCCAAGUGUGAUUCUGCUGCUCUGCCCAGCUCUUUUGCAUUACUACUGUUGCUGGCUGCUUUGGUUGUGGGCAUGUGCCUGGCCCGCUGCUCGAUGUGAUUCCCCAAAGACUGAUUCUGGAGUUAAGCGGGACCCGAUUCAGCUGCCACUGAAAGGCCAUACUUAAAUUGCCCAAGGAACAUUUGUUUUUUUUGUUGUUUUUGUAUUGUUCAUUAUAUAUUUUAACAUUCUGUGUCUAGGAGCUGAUUGUCAGAGCUGUGGUGGUGGAUCCUCUGGUUGUGGUUUCUUUUUGGUUUGAGGUGCAUUGCUUGUUUCAUGAUGUUGUGAGUUUUGUUUAUUUUAGUUUCCCUUAAGUUGUUUCCACUGUUGACCACAACUCUUGGCCCAGCUAUGUUUUACAUGAUUGUGACUUUAAGAU